rnacentral:rRNA from 1 species
UACGUAGGGGCCUAGCGUUGUCCGGAUUUAUUGGGCGUAAAGAGCUCGUAGGCGGUUUGGUUAGUCAGGUGUGAAAUCUCCACGCUCAACGUGGAGGGGCCACCUGAUACUGCCAUGACUUGAGUCCGGUAGGGGAGUGUGGAAUUCCCGGUGUAGCGGUGAAAUGCGCAGAUAUCGUUUGGAACGCCAAUGGUGAAAACAGACAGCUGGGAGUGUGCUGACGCUGAGACACGAAAGCCAGGGGAGCGAACGGG